rnacentral:ribozyme from 1 species
UUCUCACUUUUCUUUCCUUUUCUUCUUUUUUUUUUUCGUUCUUUUCUUUUAAUUAAAUCGAAAGAGGAGGUGCAGAUUAAUAAUAACA